CAAAGCAGGAAGCUCAUUCCCUGCUCCCGGAGGAGCGGUUUUGAGCAGGACAAUCCCUUUGGUCAGGCAUCAAACACCAGCAUGCGAGCCAUCUGCUUCUCUGACUGAAACACCCAACGAAAAGCUGCUGGAUUGAAAAAGGAUAUUAAUCUGAAAAGCGUACAACAAAGCGACUGCAGGGUGUUCCCCCCCCCCCCCCCCUCGAGCCAGAGCGAGCGAGGAAAGCUGAUUACCAUGACACACAGGAGCCCUGAUCUAAUAUUCCACUUCAAGAUUUGCAAAUAAUGUGCCCAUUAACAUUCAUUAGCUCUUUAAAUAAUACCUGCCAGACCUUCCAGGCAAGGAGGAAAGGCCCCUGCGCCCAGAAAUCAAUCACGCAACAGCCUCUAAUUGUGCCUUUUCCACAUUUACGCAAAGUUGCAAUAAAAACAGGGCCAGGGCAAUUGCAGAGCUGAAGCUGCCGCUGCUGCUCGUGUGCAGAGCUGCACAGAGAUGACCGUCCUGCUCCCGGCUGCAGGAUGAGGAUCUUUGCUAAUUAGUGGGCUUCUCCCCGCAGGGAUGUGUCACGCCAGCCUUCCACCACCCGAAAGAGCUCCUGUCCUCCAGCUCCUCGGGGCAGCCUGCUGAGAUGAGCGCGGUGGCGUGGCCCAGGAGAGGACACUUUCUCUGGAGCUCUGCGGAGCCCCAGAGCUGAUGCUGAUGCAGAAAAGUUUGAAGGGCCGUCCUGCUGCCCCAGGUGGAUAACACCUGAAAAGAGAUGGAAAACUGACGGCUUGAGGUCAAACUGUGAUACCACCUACGAACACCAUCGCUCUCAAUUUAUCACCCUAUGGCAUCACCUGGACCCUUUGCAUUCCCUCCAGAAGGGGCAGAGCCUCUGCUGAAGGCAAAUGGGGAGUAGUUGCAUCUAGAAAGUGAGACCAAUCCCCAAAUUCUGCCUUCUUCUGCUCUACUCACUGAGCUAUAGAGCGUUUCCUCAUCCUUCAGCUCUUCCUGCCUGAGGAUUUCUGCUGGCACCCACGGGAAGGUGAUCUGCUCCCAGCCCAAAGCUCUGCGAGUUGUUUGCACCCCAAAGAAAUGGGAAUUUUGGACUGGGCAUCCCUUGGGGGCAUGGGACAGAGCAGCCGAGGUUUGCCAUUGGAAGGAGACUUUCACAAAGGCCCCUAGGUGUUCCUAGGCAAGACAGGAGACACGCUCUAACCCUCGUGUGCAGCCGUCCGGAUCCCUGGGGUGAGCAGGGUCAGCCCCCGGCAGGUGCAGCAGCUUUCUGGGUUAGCCACCAUCGGCACACUGUCACCCCGCCAGCACUCCGUGAGCAAAGCUGGGCACUAUAACCUCAAAUUAGCUGUCGGAGCAAGCUCAUUCUGGAUUUGCCUGGUGCUUCAGUGCUUUAAAAAAGAGAUACAUGUACGAGACCAGAUGAGUAGGUCCCUUCGCAGAAGGCCACGAGCAAGCCUAGAGGCGUCAGAGGGUCUGUAGCACAUCUUCACGUUGCUUAGGAAAUGGCUCAGCGUUGUCCCAGAUGUUACAGUCAAAGCAAAAUUCCUGUCUGGGAAAAGCAAUGCCUUCCUUGUGUAGCAGGGAGACAGCUGAGCACUGUUACAGAUGCAUUGAAUCAGCCCAAAAUGAGUUUAACGGAGGAGUUAAUAGACAACCUAAUUAGUGACUUGUCUGUGGUCUAACUAGCCAGGUCAGGGAAGGGCACUGAAAGAAAAGUGAUGGAUUCUGCAAAGGGUCUGCACAUCCGCAGGAUUAACGAAAACUGUGCUGCCCAUAUGAGAAUGUUCUCGAUCAACAAGAGGAAUGGAGGAAUUUUUUCAAAGUGUGAAGAUAUUGCAAAGAAAUGCAAAAGCAAAAUGAGUUUGAGCGUACUUAAAGGGCAGUGAUCUGAUGAAGAUGAGAAAUGCAGAGUUAAUGUUCUCUCUUGGAUUUCUUCACAAAUUUACCGAGCAAGAUUUCCCCAGACUUCUUCACAUCCCUGGAAACAAGGAAAAGGGAAUUUCCAGCAGCAGAGUGAAGUGGAGGAUGUUAGCAUCAUGCCGUGAUGGGUAAAACAAACAGGGACCACCACUGGUGAUGCAGGAAAGGGAGAGCAGGGAGAGCAUCCUUCCCCACCCUGAGCUCGGCUCUGCUCCCGCUGCGCCCAGGUCCCCAGCUCAGUGCCCCGCAGCCGUUCCCUCCUCAGACCUGCUCUGCCUUACUCCUGAGAAUGCCCUCGGAGCCGUCCUGCUAUCUCUCACCAGCUCCUAUCUAAUUUAUCCCGCCAGCUACCAAAAACUUAUUUAAUCUAAAGCUCCUGUAAAAAGGAAAAAAAAAAAAAAAAACAACUGUUUUGUGCUACGUCCUCUCCAUCCCCUCAUCCGAUGCCUGUGUGAACAUGGAUAAAAUCACUAUUUAAUAGCGCUGGUCAAGCCCUGCUGCUUGUUCAGGAAACCUGCUGGCAGCGUGUUUGGAUCAGCUAUUAAAAGUUUGUAUGAAACUUGU